CCUACGGGAGGCAGCAGUGGGGAAUAUUGGGCAAUGGGCGCAAGCCUGACCCUGCAACGCCGCGUGAAGGAAGAAGGCUUUCGGGUUGUAAACUUCUUUUCUUAGGGACGAAGAAAGUGACGGUACCUGAGGAAUAAGCCACGGCUAACUACGUGCCAGCAGCCGCGGUAAUACGGAGGUGGCAAGCGUUAUUCGGAUGAAUUGGGUGUAAAGGGCGUGUAGGCGGGGGCGCAAGUCAGAUGUGAAAACUCAGGGCUCAACCCGGAGCCUGCAUUUGAAACUGUGUUUCUAGAGUGCUGGAGGGGCAAUCGGAAUUCCCGGUGUAGCAGUGAAAUGCGUAGAUAUACGGAGGAACACCAGUGGCGAAGGCGGAUUGCUGGACAGUAACUGACGCUGAGGCGCGAAGGCGUGGGGAGCGAAAGGGAUUAGAUACCCUGGUAGUC
rnacentral:rRNA from 1 species